rnacentral:tRNA from 1 species
GUAUGGAAUAUUUACAUUGGUAAUGGUCGGG